UACGUAGGGACCGAGCGUUGUCCGGAAUUAUUGGGCGUAAAGAGCUCGUAGGCGGCUUGUCGCGUCGGAUGUGAAAGCCCGGGGCUUAACUCCGGGUCUGCAUUCGAUACGGGCAGGCUAGAGUUCGGUAGGGGAGAUCGGAAUUCCUGGUGUAGCGGUGAAAUGCGCAGAUAUCAGGAGGAACACCGGUGGCGAAGGCGGAUCUCUGGGCCGAUACUGACGCUGAGGAGCGAAAGCGUGGGGAGCGAACAGG
rnacentral:rRNA from 1 species